UACGAGGGGGGCAAGCGUUGUUCGGAAUUAUUGGGCGUAAAGAGCUCGUAGGCGGUUUGUCGCGUCUGCUGUGAAAACUCGGGGCUUAACUCCGGGCCUGCAGUGGGUACGGGCAGACUAGAGUGCGGUAGGGGAGACUGGAAUUCCUGGUGUAGCGGUGAAAUGCGCAGAUAUCAGGAGGAACACCGAUGGCGAAGGCAGGUCUCUGGGCCACUACUGACGCUGAGAAGCGAAAGCAUGGGGAGCGAACAGG
rnacentral:rRNA from 1 species